rnacentral:rRNA from 1 species
UACGAAGGGGGCUAGCGUUGCUCGGAAUCACUGGGCGUAAAGGGUGCGUAGGCGGAUUUCUAAGUCAGGGGUGAAAGUCUGAGGCUCAACCUCAGAACUGCCUUUGAUACUGGAAGUCUUGAGACCGGAAGAGGUAAGUGGAACUGCGAGUGUAGAGGUGAAAUUCGUAGAUAUUCGCAAGAACACCAGUGGCGAAGGCGGCUUACUGGUCCGGUUCUGACGCUGAGGCGCGAAAGCGUGGGGAGCAAACAGGG